UGGUGGUUUUAAUUCACCAUGAUAGAGGACUUAUAUAAAUAAAGAAAUUGAUCAUUGACCACGAUGAAAACGUAUUUGGCUUUUGUUCACCAUUCCCUUGAGGCUGAGCUAUUUACGAAUUAAUAUUCUACUUCGUCUGAACUGCUUUAUAACUGAGGAAAUAUUAAGAUGCGACGUUUCAAUCUCCAGUGUCUCCAAGUCAAAUGGAGUUUAUUGGCCUUUGGCUGUUUUAAAACGUUUUCCUGAACAUUUUUCUUACUUAGAUCACGAUUCUUGUCUCGACAAUUGAUUGAAAGACAAGUCACUUUUAACCAACGAUUUAUGAAGAUGAUUAAAAUUACCCCAUUAUCAAACGCCGAAGUCUCGGCAUUUUUUAAUGUGAAAAUCUUGUGUAAUAAAAAGGUGGGAUUUAUCUUUAUCAAAAAAAA